GAAAGAAAUGUGAGGCUGUUCCUUUGAAAGCAUAUGUAUUUAAUAAAUUGCACUUCCUCAGAGACCAGCACAGAGUCCCUAGACGGCGGGCAGUGGAGAGGAGUGACCUCACUGGAUGGUGUACUUGCCCCAUACUUGAUCAUCUGAUCUUCAGGACCACACUGUAAGUGCUGCAAGGUUCUGAUGAUCAUGGAGUAGCAGAAGAGCAUGAUCCCCAAGGGGAUCACCAACCCAAAGAUGUUGAUCUCCAGGGAGCUGAGAACCUUCCACGUGGUGGAGUUGACAGAGUACUUGGUUUUGCAGAUGUGUGGACUUAGGCAAGAUGUGCUCAAGGGGAAGAGCCCUACAUGUAUGGCUACCCGUCAGAAGAGGGUUCCGAAGCGUGGGGACAGGUAGAGAGCAUAAGCAGAAAGCAGAGAAAAGUGACUCAUUUCCCAAAACUGAAGGUUAGGAAAAUUUGCUUUCUUCUGUAAGAGGAGAAAAUGGAGAGGAAAGCCAAGUAAGCUUUUUAAUUUUAAAAAUUUGUCGGAGGGGCUGGGGAGGUCGUUCAGUGAUAGAGCUUGCCUCAUAUGCAUGAGGCCCCAGGUUUGAUUUCCAGCACUGGGGGAAAAAAAGUUGGAACAUGGGGACAUAGUUUAGUGCUGGAGCUUCCCUAGCAUGCAUGAGGCCCAAGAUUUAAUCCUCACACACCAAUUUAUUUAUUGGCUUUUUGGGGAGGUGAGGUGGGGUUUAACCAGGGUUUGAACCCAGGGGCACUUAAUCAUUGAGCCUUAUCCCCAAGCCAUUUUGAUCUUUUAUUUUAAGACUAAGUUGCUGAACUUGCUAUCCUCUUGCCUCAGACUCCGGAGUAUCUGGGAUUACAGGUGUGCCCUCCCCACUAUUUGUUGACUUUUUUAAUGUAAAAGGAUUUUUUUUUCCUUCUAACUGGCUUAUAUGCUGUAGAAUGUUCCUUCUGUUUUGGGUCAUUAGGCUGAUAGUUUUUUCCUCUUCAUGAAUACACAAGGGCAGGUACUCAAGAUGUAUGAUAUUCUCUAAACAAGUGGGAUCUGAACCAGACUGAGAAGGCCAGGAAAACUCUAGGAAAAAGAUAUUCCAGAAUAGAGAAAAAUUUGUCCAAAUGAGGGUGUCUAUUUGUCCAAAUCUUCCCUGACUUGGACAAUUUUAGCCAACCACAUUCUUAGAUUCAAUUAUUUGUCUUCAAAGUUGUGUCAGUUGAACUUUCAAGUCCCUUCUGCUUGGAAACUGUGCCGUUUCACUGACUGAUUAAAUGAAAAUAGCUGAGCCUGAUAUGUUGCCCUGCCAUUACUGGACUCCCAAGAAAUAUCUGGGUGAGUCCCAUCAAUUUCUGUGUGUUUAGAUUCAAAGUAGGUUUCUAGCCAGGCAAGGUAGUGCAUACCUGUAAUCCUAACAACUUGGGAGUCAAGGAAGGAGGAUCACAAGUUCUGAGGCCAGUGUCAACCAAUUAGUGAGGCCCUAUCCAACUUAGUGAGACUCUGUCUCAAAAAAGUAUUGAGGAUGAAGCUCAGUGAUAAAGCGCCCCUGGGUUCAAUUCCAAGUACAAAAAGGCAAGUUUACAGACCCAGCUAUCCCACUCCUUGGUUUAUACCUAAAUGACUUAAAAACAGCACACUACAGAGACAGCCAUAUCAAUGUUUAUAGCAGCACAAUUGCUAAAUUGUGGAACCAACCCAGAUACCUUUCAGUAGAUGAAUGGAUAGGUAAACUUUGGUAUAUAUACACAAUGGAACAUUACUCAGCAUUUACAAGAGAAUAAAAUCAUGGCAUUUGCAGGUAAAUGGAUGGAGAAUAUAAUGGUACGUGAAGCAAGCCAAUCCCAAAAAACCAAAGGCCAAAAUAAAAUGUUUUCUUUGAUAUGAGGAUCCUGGGGAGGAAUGGAGGGCAAGGGGGUAGGAAUGAGUUAGACAUCAUUAACCUAAGUGCAUGUAUAAAGGUACCACUUUGUGUACAAUCAGUGACUUGAAAAAUUGUGCUCUAUAUGUGUAAUAUGAAAUGAACUGCAUUCUGCCCUCAUGCAUCACACAGUAGAAUAAAUAAUUUAAUAAAAAAGACAAGUUUAGAAAUUGUAGAGGUUACUUCUGUGUAGAAAAUUGGUCUUCAAAAGUAAACACCCUCCCUCAAAAAAAAGGUAUUAAGUUUUUAAGUAACAUCUAUUUCAUACAUGAGGAAGCAAACUCAAGAGAGGAAAGGUGGUAUGCCAUGACAUCACACCAGUCAGAGACACAGCUGGGCCAACACCCGCACUCCUGACAUCACGUUCUAUUGGGCUUCAUUUCAGAAACCUGAGCAGAACAAGACUCAGUGUAAACCCUGCCCCAAACUAUGAUCCACAGCACCUGUUGCCCAACAUGAGACCACAGCGACCCCUGGUGACCAGGCUUAUUGCAACACCAAGACAUCUGGUAAAUUCCCUAGCCAACAUGUACUAGACCAACAUCUCUGAAAUUGAAGCCAGAAACUCCCAAAGCUUUCAGGAAGAAUCUCAUAAGACUCUGCUGUAGAGUACCGUGUUAAAAUGAGAGAAAUGCGCCAGGCAGAGCUACACAGGAUGGUACCCAGGGACAAUGAGACAGUAAACAGAGUUUACAGUCAGCUCAUGUAUGGCAGGCGAGGUUAGUUGGGUUACAAGGGCCUUCCAUCCAUUGGCUAAUCUAAUAAUUUUGUGGGCUCAAAAUUAACCACAUGGCCCCAGGGACUUCAAGUUAGCACACAGUGGCCUCUGGUUAUGAGAACCUAAUAAGUGGAGGGGUUGGGUGUGUGGACUAAGCUGCUCUAAAAGGGAAACAUUACAGCCAGACAUGGUGGUAAAUACCUAAUCCCAGCAACUCUGGAGGCUGAGAUAGGAGGCAUGAAGUUCAAAGCCAGCCUCAGCAAUUGGACUGGGGAUGUAACUUAGUGGUAAACAAUCCUUGAGGUUCAAGCACCAGUUUAAAAAGAGUAGGGGGAAGCAGAGAGGGGUAGGCUACAAACCAAGACUACAAAACUGAUUCAUCUGAGUAAAGAGAACUUUGGUAAGGAAAUAAAAUAUUGCAAAUAGUUUUUGGAAAGAUAACACAUUUUCAUGUAAACCUGUAUGUCCAAGAAGAUUAAGAAAAACAGAAAACCUGUAACUGAUUAAUACUACUUACCAGAGUUGUGCUGAGCAUCUAAAGUUCUCAGAGAAUAAUUUAGACCUUAAGUGUUUAUAUUAGAAAAGAAGAAAGGCUAAAAGUUAGGGAGAAGGGUGUUUGACUGGAAAAGGAGGCAAGAGAAAAAUAACAGGGGACAAACCAUGGGGGUCAUAAGAAAGAAUAUAAGAGCAGAAAUUAAACAAGUUCAAAGGAAAAGAGACCCAUUAAAAUAUUUGAAAACACAAAUAAAACUGACAGACCUGUAAGGAAGUUAAAGGGGGGAAAAAACAACAAUUUUAGAAUGCAAAGGGAGAUAUGCAAUUUUAAAAAAAUAUUAUGAACUUUAUCACAAUAAAAGGUAGAUAAAUCUUACCAAAACUGGCUCAAAAAAUAUAUAUAAAAUCUGAUGAUUUUUAACAUCAUCCAGUAGUUUAAAUGCUUGACACAAGAGCAGAUUCAUACACACUCAAAAAAAGGUUCCACGAAUUCUAAGUAUCCAAGGUAUCUACGGUUUUAAUCUCAGGCAUCUUCCCUCCCCUUCUGAAAUAAAAAAAAAAUACUCUAAACUCAUUUGUUCAGUUAGUACUAUAAUUUUGAUAACAAAACUAGACAAAGUAGGAAAAACAUAAAAUUGUUCAAUUUCACUCAUGAAUAUAUAGGGCAAAUAUCCUAUAUGAAAUGUUAACCCAUAAUGAACAAGUUAGUGCAUUUCAGAAAAGCAAAGUUGAUUUAAUACUAGAACAUCUAAUUUAUGCCUAUCACCACAUUAACAGAGAAAAGCCAUGUGUCAUAGAAAGAGCCCUGAAUAAGAAAAAAAAAAAUCUAUCAUUUGUGACAAUAUAGAUGAACCUGAAAGACACAGAUAAGUGAAAUAAACCAGGCACAGAAAGACAUACUAUGAGGAGUCUAAAAAACGCAACUCAAAGAAGCAGAGAGUAGAAAAGUGAUUACCAGGGCUUGGAAGAGGGAGGAAGGACUGGGGAACGUUGGUCAAAGGCUACAAAUUUCAGUUGGGGGGAAAUAAGUGUAAGAUGUCUACAGUGCAAUAUGUUGACAAAUAUAUACUUGAAAAUUGCUAAGAGAUUUAAGUGUUCUCAACACACUUCAAAAAACUAUGAAGUAGUUAAUGCAUACGUAAAUUAGCAUGAUUAAACCUUUACACCAUGUAUACCAUAAAUAUAUAUAAUCUUUAUUAAAAAAAACAACAGUAUUGGUAAUUUAGGUGGUGGUAGGAUGGGAAGUCAGCUUCCUAAGCACAAAAAAGAAAUUUUACUUUAGAAGGUAACUUUUUAAAAAUGCUAAAAAUCCAACAAACCUGCUAUCCAAUUGUAAACAGCAAAAGUCAUUCCUUUAAAAAUUAGGACCAUGGCUGGGCGUGGUAACACAUGCCUAUGAUCUAGCAGCUGGGGAGGUUGAGGCAGGAGAAUUGCAAGUUCAAAGCCAGCCUCAGCAAAAGCAAGGCGCUAAGCAAUGCAGCAAGACCCUGUCUCCAAAGAAAAUACAAAAUAGGGCUGGAAAUGUGGCUGAGUGGUUGAGAACUCGAGUUCAAUCCCUAGUACCCCUCACCAAAAAAAAAAAUAUUAGGACCAUGACUGUGAUGCCCACCACCAAUUCUAUUAUAGCCAGUAGGAAAAUAUAAGAGUUAAGAAGAUAUAAUGAAUUCAACAAAUUAAACAAAAAUCAGAUAUACUUAACAGUGAACAAAGCCUUUUUAAAAUUUUCAUUUAAAAUAACAGAACAAAAAGCUUAAAAAUAAAAGGAGAUGAAAGGCUUGUAUUCUGAAAACUACAAAAUGUUGUUGGAAGAAAUAAAAGUUACAAGUAAAUGAGGAAAUGACCCAUGCUUACAGACUGGAAGAUUUAGUAUAGUAUUACCCAAAGUGAUCUAAAGAUUCAGUGGCAUCCCUACCACAAUCUCAACAUCACUUUUUCCACAAAUAGAAAAAUCCAUCUUAAAAUUCAUAUAAAAUCUCAAGGGGCCUGCAGAGCCAAAACAAUCUUGACCUAUACUUCCUGGUUUCAAAACUUAUUACAAAAAGCCAUGUUAAUCCAAAUAAUGUGAAACUGGCACAAACACAGACACAGAAAUGGAAUACUCAGAAACCCUCACAAGUAUGGUCAAAUCUCUUUUUGCAUUGUCUUUAUUUCAUCCCAUUCCCUCUGUAUAGUAAUGAUGUCACUUAGUACAUUCUCUGGGGGAUGUGGUCAAAUUAGCUUUGAGAAGGGUGCCAAGAUUAUUCAAUAGGGAAAAGACAAGUCUUUCAAUAAAUGGUGUUAAGAAAACUGGAGCUCCAAACGCAAAAGAAUAAAGUUGAAUGCUUACCUUACACAAAUAACAGCUAAACUAUAAAACUUGGGGAAAGAAAUAUAAGGGAAAAAGCUUCAUGCUAAUGAAUUUCACAAUGAUUUCUUGUACCAAAAGUACAGAUAACAAAAGGAAAAACAGAUGAACUGAACUGCAUCAAAAUUUAAAAUUUCACCACAUGGUGGCGCUCACCUGCAACUGAGUGGUAGGGCUCUUGUGGAGCAUGCAAGAGGCCCUGGGUUCAAUCCCCAGUGACACUAGAAAGAAAAGGACAAAGACUUUUUGAUUUGGUGAAUUUUAACCAGGUUGAGUUUUUUAAGAGAGAAUGAGAGAGAGAGAGAGAGAGAGACAAUUUUUUUAAUAUUUUUUAGUUUUUGGGCGGACACAACAUCUUUCUUUUUAUGUGGUGCUGAGGAUCGAACCCGGGUCGCACGCAUGCCAGGCGAGCGUGCUACCGCUUGAGCCACAUCCCCAGCCUCCAGGUUGCGUUUUCAAGAAAAUUUUUUAAUAAACAGCCAGGUGCGGUGGCACGCACUUCUAAUCCCAGUGGCUUGGGAGGCUGAGGCAGGAGGAAUGCAAGUUCAAAGCCAGCAGCAGCAACUUGGUGAGAUCCUAAGCAACUUAGCAAGUAAAAAUAUCUGGGGAGGUGGCUCAGUGGUUAAGUGCCACUGGGUUCAAUCCCUCGUGCCAAUUUUUUUUUUUUUUAAAGUUUCUGUGCAUAAAAGGAUAUGAUCAAAAAAGUGAAAAGGUGGGUUGGGGUUGUAGCUCAGUGGUAGAGCGCUUGCCUCACAUGUGCGAGGCCUUGGGUUCGAUCCUCAGCACCACAUAAAAAUAAAUAAAAAUAAAGAUUUUUUUAAAAAGUGAAAAGGCAAUCUGCAGAACGGGGGUAAAUAUUUGCAAAUCAUAUCUGAUAAGUGGUUAAUAUGCAAAAUAUUUAAAGAAACCCUACAACAAGAAAGACAACCUGAUAUAAGAAUAAAAUAAAGUAUCCAGAAAUGAACUUCAGCAACUAGUCCAAAAACAGAUUGAAGCAUUUUAUCACAUUCUAGUCUCCAGAUUGAAACCUACUGUGUGAAAUUCAGAAUUUUUUAGUCCCCCUUGGGAACCUGAAAUGGAAAGAACUGCUCUCUCCAUACCUGCUAACAUCAAAAUGUUCCAUCACCUAAGGUUAGUCCUUCAGAACAUAUCCUUUGUACCACUGCCCACUCCAUGCCCACCUGAUUCACAUGCAGACCACUGAAUCCCAUUCCAUAAUAACCAAUUCCCUCUUUCUGCCUUUCAGUGUGCCCUGACAGACUCUUCCUCCUUCCUGAACCCAUUUCAAUAUUCAGCACAAAUGUGUAUAUUUCAAGAGUAUAAUCAAUAGGCUGGGAAUGUAACUCAGUGGUCGAGGGCUUGCUUACAUGUAUAAGGCCCUGGGUUCCAUCCCCAACAACAACAAAAUAGAUUAUAGCAUUGUAACACUGCUAUAUUGUACAUGAAGGGACAAUGGGGAAUAGGCACCACAGGGAUUUUUAAUAUAGAGAUUUAGCCAGGCGAGCCGGUGAACACCUGUAAUCCCAGUGGCUCAAGAGGCUGAGGCAGGAGGAUUUCAAUUUCAAAGCCAGCCUAAGCAACUUAGCGAAGCACUAAGCAACUCACAGUUACACUCUGUCUCUAAAUAAUAUACAAAAAGGACUGGGGAUAUGGCUCAGUGGUUAAAUGCCCCUGAGUUCAAUCCCUGGUGCCAAAAGAGAGAAAGGGAAGGGGGAGGGAAGGAGGGAGGGAGAGAGAGAAGCUUAGUUGUCAUACUAUCAAGAAGGUGAUAUGAAGAGUUCUGAGGGAGCUGGCAAGAAAUUUUGUUCCUGCAGCUCUGAGACUCCUUGGUGGGACCUGUGGAGGCAAUAAGUACCAUGGUGAUUGGCAGACAGACUAUAGAGGAACAUCAUCAUCUGUGGCUGCCUUCCCCCACCCCCCAGGGUGAAAGGAGGAGAAAAACCUAUCAGAAAAUAAUGGUGCCACCUUGAACAAAAUAACAGGCAUGUCCCACCACGCUACUCAGCUAAGAUAUAUUUCUUUGAUUCUCUUGGUUUACCCGAUAGGGAACAGAAGAAGAAAUGUCAUUAACUACUGUUGACAAAUGAUUCCUCUUGCAUAUAGUUAAUUGAGAAGUGGGACCAAUUUGGUCAAGGUUCAGUCAAGCUGAAUUUUAAGAAAAUGUGAAGUUUUCUACAUUUCAUUACACAAUGUCAAAAUCUCACUGUAUACUUUUCUGUUACUGCUGUAACAAAUUGCCACAAACUCAGAGGAUUAAACAACAUCUGUUUCCAUGCAUUUUCCAGCUUGCUGAGACCACCAACCUUCCACAGUCUGUGGGCUCUUCCAGAUUCCGUCAGCACUGCAGCUUCUUCUCUCCCCUGGCAUCAAAAUGUUCCAUCGCCUACCUUCAUUUUAUUAAAAAAACCCUGUGGGUGACAUCUGGCCCACCCAGAUCAUCCAGGAUGAUUUCCCUUUCUCCAAGUCCUUAAUUUAGUAAUUUCUGCAAAUUCCUUUUGAAUGUAAAGCAGCACAUUCACAGGUUCUGGAGAUAAGGACAUGGACAUCUUUAUGGGCUCCAAUCCUGUAUCACAUCACAUUGAGCAAUAUUACCACUGACACCAGAAAACUCUUACUCAAAAAUUAUUAUAUUCAUACUAACAGAUGCAAGUUCUCCAAGAUUGUAAUUUUUGCUUGAAAGCUCAGUGGGUUUUAUUUUGUUUUGUUUUGUUGUUGUUGUUAACCAAGGAUUGAACCCAGGGAUGCUUAACCACUGAACCACAUUCCCGGUAGAGACUGGGUCUCACUGAGUUGCUCAGCACCUCACUUUUUGCUGAAGCUGGCUUUGAACUAGCGAUUCUCCUGUCUCAGCCUCCCAAACCACUGGGAUUACAGGCAUAUGCCAACACGCCAGGUGAAUGCUCAGUUUUUAUCAUUGGCAAUAGUCAAUGGUUUCACUUAAAAUGACAAGCUUGCUUCAUUGAUUUUCAAUAUCUAUUGAAUAAAAUUGUGGUUAUUUCAUGUAAGAUGAAAAUUCCAUAAGAAUUCAAGGGUAGAGAUAACAAAUUUUUGUUUUUACUAAGAUUAUUAAGUAAAAUUGGUACUAGGAGAACAGAGCAAAAAAGAGUUAACAUUUUUGAGUACAAUUUGAAGGCACUGAAUUAAUUUGUCCAAAGAUCCCAGCAUUUUUGGCCUGCAACUGCUUUUGCAUCCUCAGAACAAAGACAAAGAGUGAAGAACAAAGUUAUAGUGUCAGUAUGAAUAUUAAUUUGAUAUCAGAUCCCCUGGAAAGAGUGGCAAAGACCUACCACCUCCUACCCUCACCAGGGGUCUAUGAGCCAUAUCACACCUUGAAAAUUGCUAUUUACAGAAAUAAAACCUGCCAGCAGAUGGCAGUAGGUACAGUAGCAUUUCCCAAUUUGCAUUAACCAUUAUUUAGGAAAGUGAUUUCAUUAAAAAGGAAUUUAAAUUUUUGCCUUAAAGUUCAAAGAUAGCAUCUCUUUGCAGAAAUUAAACUAGACCAAAUAAAUCCAUGAAACAGGUGCUACUUCAGCUUACAACUCAAUGACCCAACAACUUUAAGUACUACAGGCCUCUCACUUUGUCACGCAGAACACAAAAAAUAGUACAUAGCCUUGGUACAGGAACUCUGCCAUUUUACUAAAUAGUGCAAAAUUCAAAAAAGUGUUCUGCCAACUAAAAUUACUCUAAAAUUGAAGCAUUUCCCUUAAAGAAUCAUGUACAGAGUUUAAUAAAACAUUUUUUCAAUUAAA